rnacentral:tRNA from 1 species
GGGGUUGUGGCUCAGUGGCAGAGCGCUCGCCUUGCACGUGAGAGACCCUGGGUUUGAUCCUCAGCACCACA